UCAGGUCCAGGAGAACCCUGCGAGUCCAAGCCACCUUGGUCGUGCGGUUCCACCUGUUGGACUACGCGUCAAUGACAAUGUUGCGCUCCACGCGUCGGAUCUCGGACGAGAACUCGCUCUCUUGGAUUAAAAGCCCUCUCUCUAAGAUUGGGCAUGAGGGAUCCGAUGGAACGAGCUGCCUGCGAAGCCCUGUCGGAGACCAUUUUUAGACGGCUGUUGAAGGUGUAAGAUGGAAAUCCAGUUGUAGUCCAAGGUAACGCAGGUUCCUCUUGGCUGCAACCGGAUGACCGCCGGAGAACAGGAUAGGGGAGCAGGAUGCCCAUUUCCUUGUUAGAAUGGCCUCAGUCUUCUGAUAUGC